ensembl:lncRNA
CUUAAGCCGAAGCCCCAGGGACUGAGUCACGAAGAGACGGGAGAAGGGGUAGGGAGACAGGGUAACUCGGGAGAGGAAGGGAACCAGCCUGUGAGUCAGGUCUUCACUGGAAGCCCUGGCUUUUGGUGGCAGGACUCCAGGAGUACUUCAUUUAUCCUCAGAAAAUGCCACGUGCCCUGGUUUUGUUUUUUUUGUUUGUUUGUUUCUUCUUUUUUUCUCCAUCUCAGACUAGGCUUUUGUUUCCCCCUUCAUUUUUCUGGUAUUCUUUGAGUGAGAAAAGUAAGAGUUUGCUUCAAGGACAUUCCAAAGGUCUCCAUUAUCAAACUUUAAAAAAAAAAAAACAAAAAAAAACAGGCAAUCACUGUAGUCCAUCUGUCCUGCUGAAUUAUCAACUCCAGGAGAGCCAGAGAUUUGUUUGAUAUCAUCUGUACUACUCUCUCUUCUACCUUCCAGGUUCUUGGUGAAGUGUGGCCAGGAAGGCUCUGUAAAUAUUUGUUCAAGUGAAUCACAUAUAAUCAUAUAAUACUUUGACUUGGUAACAAUGUCUACAAUUAAAGGAGACUUAUAGCACAUUCUCUAUAGAAGAUUUUUCUAGUUCAGCCUUUCUGUUUUUAAAUCUUAUUCAAUUCACUUCAGGCAAUGUUUAUUGAGGGACUUAAACUCUAUACAAAUCAUCGUGCUAGACACCCACAGCAUAGGUUCAGUGAAAUUAUCGCUUACUGCUCCAAAAGGACGGAUGCUCAUAAAGAAAUGUUAGACUGCUACAGAAAUAAGGAGCAGGCAGAAUAAAAUGCAACCACUACUUGCCGUCAGGAUGUGGGGGAUGAACCUGACAACCCCAAGCUGGCUACAGAUUCCAGCCUCCUUCAGUGACUCUCAUAUCAGGAAACCCAACAGGCUAAACCCAGCAUUUUGCUGCUGCUGUUGUUGCUGUUUUAAGAACAAGCUGCUCAAUGUCUAUGCAUUGCCAAGGAGGGAGUGCUUUCCCUUCUCUCCAGACAGGAGGCUCCCAACAUUGAAAACAUUUCAGGGGAAAAGUAACAAAGGCCAUUCAAAUAAGAAGCCUAAAGAUCCCAGGCCACCCAGCUCCAGAAACAACAUAAGAUUGAAUUUUUGCUUCUUCGUCAUUCUGGAAAUAAAUGAGUAUGGCACAGCUAUGGCAUUAAGAGGAAAGAUAGAAUAUUCAAUAGACCUAUCAGAGGCCUUUCAUCACCCUGACGGAUGUGGGACUUAGGGAACAGUCAACAGAAUGCCUUCACCAGUGAUCAUGACCAUUUCCUGGACAGAACAAAAUGCCAACAACUUGGAUGCAGCAACUUCACAGGAACAUAUGAAAGACAUGCAACAUGGAAAACUUAUGGAAGAGCCAACUCCCAGUGAGAACCCAUGUUAAAAUAUGUUAAAUAUGGAAAAUGAUAAAAACUGAAAUCUGUGAACAGUAAUAAAUCUAGUAUUUUUUGACAGCUUACCAUUUUCUAUCUUCUCAACCAUCUUUAAAUCUUAUUAUCCUUAUUUUAUAGACAAGAUAACUGAAAAAUAGAUUUUGUGUAAUGUUCUUAAUAUUUUAUAGCUAGAGGAGACGCAGGGCUUCCCAGGUGGCAGUGGUAAAGAAUCUGCCCGUCAGUGCAGGAGAUGCAAGAGAUGUUAGUUUCGAUCCCUGCGUCAGGAAGAGCUCUUGGAGAAGGAAAUGGCAACCCACUCCAGCAUUCUUGCCUGGAAAAUUCCAUGGACAGGGAGGCUUGUGGGCUGCAGCCCAUGGGGUUGCAGAGUUGGACACGACUGAGCACAUGUGCACACACACCCCCACAUUAGUGGAUGAAGCUGGGACUUACACCCGGCAGCCUGCCUCCAGAAGCCAGGCUCUUAACCAUUGCAUUACACUGAUGAAGAGUCUCCCCCAAAAUGAAGCUGUAUGCAUGUUGCUUUCCAUGGAAUUUGAUGUUCUCUAAUCCAGCUGCCUCAGGUGACCCCAAAAAUUCCC